GUUUAAACAGGGGGCUAUAAAAGAUGUAACAGAUGCAAACUGUAACACAAGGGCCAUUAACCCUUUCUCUGCCGGGCAUACUCAGUCCCCACGCCCCGCACCUAUUGUCUCCUGUGCUCGAAGCUUUGCAGAAAACCUGGAAAUUUUGGCCAGAAAUGGUGAGAAGAAAAAGCAUGAAGAAGCCGCGAAGUGUGGGGGAGAAAAAGGUGGAAGCGAAGAAACAGCUCCCGGAGCAAACUGUACAAAAACCUCGCCAAGAGUGUCGGGAGGCAGGACCGUUAUUCCUGCGGAGCAGGAGAGAGACGAGAGACCCUGAAACACGCGCCACCUAUCUUUGUGGGGAGGGAUAAUUGAAGCGCCCUGAGCGUGAGCAUCAUGUGAAAACGUGAUCGCCAAGUUUCUCUCUGGGAAAGGAUCUGGGAUAGAUUAUACCUUGAAGUCUCCGCAAACGCUUUAGUGGAAGAAAUGAAAUUCCACCUCCCUCCCUUCCUCUCUCCCUCCCUUUCGCCUUCGCCUCCCCCCCCCCCCCCCCUCCCCCCCCCCCCCCCCCCCCCGCCCGUCAAGCCUUUGGCAUCAUUAUCCUCAUCACUAAAUCCUACAGAGUACAGGGCGGAAAACCGUGCACACCAUUCACAGAACUGGAGAACUCUAUGGGGCGAAAGUUAAAGGGAAAGAUCCCGGGUCCUCAAAUCUCAAAUCCAGAUCGUCUCUUCUUGUACAGAUAUCUCUAAUGAUCAGAUUUGAGAUGCACAUCAAAUUGUGUGGAUAUCUCAGCACAGCUUCUGGAACAAAAUUAUCUGCCCUUUCUCUUAUUAUUAUUAUUUUUUUCUUUUUAGGUACCAGAGCCAGAAAAAAAAAUGCAUGAGAGAUGCAUCUUAGGGCAUGUGUGUUAGGGUGUGUGUGUGAUGAAUUUUUGGAUUGGAUCCUAAUAUUAAAAAGUAGUUUGGCAUUUUAAUAAAGGGUCUCUAAGUAAAUUAACAUAGAACA